rnacentral:rRNA from 1 species
GUCGACCGCCUGGGGAGUACGGCCGCAAGGUUAAAACUCAAAGGAAUUGACGGACUCCUACGGGAGGCAGCAGUGGGGAAUUUUGCGCAAUGGGGGAAACCCUGACGCAGCAACGCCGCGUGGAGGAUGAAGUCCCUUGGGAUGUAAACUCCUUUCGAUCGGGACGAUUAUGACGGUACCGGAAGAAGAAGCACCGGCUAACUCUGUGCCAGCAGCCGCGGUAAUACAGAGGGUGCAAGCGUUGUUCGGAAUUACUGGGCGUAAAGCGUGCGCAGGCGGUCUGUUAAGACCGAUGUGAAAUCCCCGGGCUUAACCUGGGAACUGCAUUGGUGACUGGCAGGCUUUGAGUGUGGCAGAGGGAGGUAGAAUUCCACGUGUAGCAGUGAAAUGCGUAGAGAUGUGGAGGAAUACCGAUGGCGAAGGCAGCCCCCUGGGCCAAUACUGACGCUCAUGCACGAAAGCGUGGGGAGCAAACAGGAUUAGAUACCCUGGUAGUCCACGCCCUAAACGAUGUCAACUAGUUGUCGGGUCUUCAUUGACUUGGUAACGAAGCUAACGCGUGAAGUUGACCGCCUGGGGAGUACGGUCGCAAGAUUAAAACUUAAAGGAAUUGACG